GUCUGGAGGGGAGGGAGCUCUGGGGGUUCCAGCACAGCAGGAGAGAUAAUCCAGGAGCCGCUCAGUAGACCAGCUUGCCAAGGCAACAGAGACUACGGGCUGACGCGUCACGUGCAGAGGGCGCGGGAGUCCCAGAAUCCAGGAGGAGUUUAGGAUCGGGAUUGGAAAUGCUCCAAUGGGUGCGGCUCCUGCUUGAAACCCGGGAGAACUCCCGACUAAGGUCUCUGGCCCGCCCCAUAUGUAACUAUGACAUCACCACCACCCAAUCAUACAGCGCGUUCUUUGGCCUCUGGACUUCUUCGCUUCCGGGAGGCGGAGCUCUCCUCGCGACCCACGUGUCUACCUAAGUCUGGUCGGGCUGACAUUGGCUUCCACUGGUGUUUCAUGUAGAGCAAGACCUAAAGAUCUGGACAUUCCGGACCCACGUUGUGACUGCCAUGAUGGCUCUCCGUUUCUCUCCCUGCUGUUCUGUGUUCACUGUUGUCCUCCCUUCGUGGCUGCUGUUCCGUGGAGACCUCCCCAAACCCAUCUGCAUUCAUCUGCAAUCUCCACCCCCGGUGGCAACUUCUAAUGCUCCUGUAAAAACUAAGUAUUGGUGAUAUUUCCUCCAAGUCCACUCUUGCCUCUGUGCUAGGAACAUUGCUAGACCCCUACAAGAUUUAUCCUUACUCUCUCCUCUUCACCUUCAAGCUAGAGGAUCCACCUAGAGUCCAGAGACUUGGAUUUGAGGCUGCUGUGGAGCAGAGAGUCCCAGCACUGGGAUAAACGACACAGCACAGCCCUGCUCUUCCCAGGUCAGUGGAUACGUAAUAACAGUGGACAGAGCAAAGCACAGAAGCAAAUGUUCCUGCCUCAGCUUCCUGAGAACCUGUGAUUUUCACUGUGCUUUUCACCAUUUUGGAGAAUGGUUCUCUGCCUUCUGCAGUCCACUGAGGAAAAUCAUGACCGGAAGUCACAGUAUCUGACUAGAUGUGUGGAAUCUAGUUGGAUAAGAAGCAUCUUGGGUAAAAAAAAUGAAAGGAAUUGAUGAAAACUACUCUGACCAGUGUCUGCCUAUGAGUUACUGACUCUCCUCCCCUACUCAUGGUGGCAACCUUGGUUAACUUGGGAACAUCGGCCCCCAGCUGCCCUCAAAGAAUAC